UGCUGGGGUCAGCGUCCCUGGACCAGGGCUACAGCUAUACACAGACACUCAGGGUGUGACAUGCAUGCUGGUAGGCUGGUGGUGAGCAGCCCAAGCAUUUGGAAAAUACAGCACAAAGCAAAGGGU